CUGUAAGACUGGGAUAACUCCGGGAAACCGGAGCUAAUACCGGAUAGUUCCUUGAACCGCAUGGUUCAAGGAUGAAAGACGGUUUCGGCUGUCACUUACAGAUGGACCCGCGGCGCAUUAGCUAGUUGGUGGGGUAAUGGCUCACCAAGGCGACGAUGCGUAGCCGACCUGAGAGGGUGAUCGGCCACACUGGGACUGAGACACGGCCCAGACUCCUACGGGAGGCAGCAGUAGGGAAUCUUCCGCAAUGGACGAAAGUCUGACGGAGCAACGCCGCGUGAGUGAUGAAGGUUUUCGGAUCGUAAAGCUCUGUUGUUAGGGAAGAACAAGUGCGAGAGUAACUGCUCGCACCUUGACGGUACCUAACCAGAAAGCCACGGCUAACUACGUGCCAGCAGCCGCGGUAAUACGUAGGUGGCAAGCGUUGUCCGGAAUUAUUGGGCGUAAAGGGCUCGCAGGCGGUUUCUUAAGUCUGAUGUGAAAGCCCCCGGCUCAACCGGGGAGGGUCAUUGGAAACUGGGAAACUUGAGUGCAGAAGAGGAGAGUGGAAUUCCACGUGUAGCGGUGAAAUGCGUAGAGAUGUGGAGGAACACCAGUGGCGAAGGCGACUCUCUGGUCUGUAACUGACGCUGAGGAGCGAAAGCGUGGGGAGCGAACAGGAUUAGAUACCCUGGUAGUCCACGCCGUAAACGAUGAGUGCUAAGUGUUAGGGGGUUUCCGCCCCUUAGUGCUGCAGCUAACGCAUUAAGCACUCCGCCUGGGGAGUACGGUCGCAAGACUGAAACUCAAAGGAAUUGACGGGGGCCCGCACAAGCGGUGGAGCAUGUGGUUUAAUUCGAAGCAACGCGAAGAACCUUACCAGGUCUUGACAUCCUCUGACAACCCUAGAGAUAGGGCUUUCCCUUCGGGGACAGAGUGACAGGUGGUGCAUGGUUGUCGUCAGCUCGUGU
rnacentral:rRNA from 1 species